AUUGAACGCUGGCGGCAGGCCUAACACAUGCAAGUCGAGCGGAUGAAGGGAGCUUGCUCCUGGAUUCAGCGGCGGACGGGUGAGUAAUGCCUAGGAAUCUGCCUGGUAGUGGGGGAUAACGUCCGGAAACGGGCGCUAAUACCGCAUACGUCCUGAGGGAGAAAGUGGGGGAUCUUCGGACCUCACGCUAUCAGAUGAGCCUAGGUCGGAUUAGCUAGUUGGUGGGGUAAAGGCCUACCAAGGCGACGAUCCGUAACUGGUCUGAGAGGAUGAUCAGUCACACUGGAACUGAGACACGGUCCAGACUCCUACGGGAGGCAGCAGUGGGGAAUAUUGGACAAUGGGCGAAAGCCUGAUCCAGCCAUGCCGCGUGUGUGAAGAAGGUCUUCGGAUUGUAAAGCACUUUAAGUUGGGAGGAAGGGCAGUAAGUUAAUGCCUUGCUGUUUUGGCGUUACCAACAGAAUAAGCACCGGCUAACUUCGUG
rnacentral:rRNA from 1 species